rnacentral:rRNA from 1 species
GGCGGCGUGCUUAACACAUGCAAGUCGAACGAUGAAGCCGCUUCGGUGGUGGAUUAGUGGCGAACGGGUGAGUAACACGUGGGCAAUCUGCCCUGCACUCUGGGACAAGCCCUGGAAACGGGGUCUAAUACCGGAUACGACCUGCCGAGGCAUCUCGGUGGGUGGAAAGCUCCGGCGGUGCAGGAUGAGCCCGCGGCCUAUCAGCUUGUUGGUGGGGUGAUGGCCUACCAAGGCGACGACGGGUAGCCGGCCUGAGAGGGCGACCGGCCACACUGGGACUGAGACACGGCCCAGACUCCUACGGGAGGCAGCAGUGGGGAAUAUUGCACAAUGGGCGAAAGCCUGAUGCAGCGACGCCGCGUGAGGGAUGACGGCCUUCGGGUUGUAAACCUCUUUCAGCAGGGAAGAAGCGCGAGUGACGGUACCUGCAGAAGAAGCGCCGGCUAACUACGUGCCAGCAGCCGCGGUAAUACGUAGGGCGCAAGCGUUGUCCGGAAUUAUUGGGCGUAAAGAGCUCGUAGGCGGCUUGUCGCGUCGGAUGUGAAAGCCCGGGGCUUAACCCCGGGUCUGCAUUCGAUACGGGCAGGCUAGAGUUCGGUAGGGGAGAUCGGAAUUCCUGGUGUAGCGGUGAAAUGCGCAGAUAUCAGGAGGAACACCGGUGGCGAAGGCGGAUCUCUGGGCCGAUACUGACGCUGAGGAGCGAAAGCGUGGGGAGCGAACAGGAUUAGAUACCCUGGUAGUCCACGCCGUAAACGGUGGGCACUAGGUGUGGGCAACAUUCCACGUUGUCCGUGCCGCAGCUAACGCAUUAAGUGCCCCGCCUGGGGAGUACGGCCGC